UAAAAACUCAGCCUCAGAGCAGCAUUUGCUGGACCAGUUUUCAAAACAGUGCAAUGUAAUCACUUAGACCAUUGUUUUGGACUCCUUGGCUGAAGGGAGAGCAACAAGCAACCACACCUUCAUCUGGGAAAAUAAUUCAGUUUCCAAUCUCCUUCUCAGGUGUCCGCCCAGAAGAAUUUUAAGAUGUAACUACAGGAGGUUACAUUAUGGCGCCCAAGGUGGUAUAAAUCACCUGAGGAGAUGUAUUGGGGUUCAAGAUUGGAGUCGGAUCAGCAGACCAGCACUUGGCCAGUGAGAUGAGUUGCUCUUCCAUUCUGGAAUAUGGGUU
rnacentral:lncRNA from 1 species